CACAUGCACGCACACGUCUUUCCUGAAAGCCUUUUUUCUCAGGGACAUGCUUGGUGAUAGAGCGAAAAGACAUAUUCCUUUCGUUAAAAGACCCAUUUUCCCAGAAAAGCCUUUCUCCGCGAGAGAGAAAACGAUCGAUUCCCGUUCGUUAAAGGAUAAAGGGCCCGGUUAUAGGUUUAUACAUCCUGCCGUUUCCAAUUCCACCCCGUCGUCAAGACAGGCUCUCUUGCUCACAGGAUAUCCCACACAAGCCCCAGCUCCAUAAGUUUUCCAGGCACAAAGUAGUUCACAUCCAGAUAGGCUUUGGAAAAUACAUACGAACUAGCAGAUUUUGUAGCAUCUCUACUAUAUCUGACAUGUUACUGUGGUCUUUUUUUAAGUCAAUAAACAUGUGU